AUCCUUAGUCAUGAUUGCAUCACUAUCUCUCUAACAAAUCUGCCUUGCUUUCUUGGACCAUCCUUCCCUGUAUCUCUUGAAAAUCUCUUUAGCUGUCUUGCUUAUUCCCUGCAUAUCUUUGCGCAUCUUCCCCAUCUUUGGUGCUACUUUAGUGUUUUGAUUUACUUUGUAAUCAGUAAUCACUGAAAAAAUGGCUUCUGCUGCACAAGGACAAUCCCAUUUGCCUGGAAUCUCAUUACAGCUGGUUAUGUUGAACAAUCUGUAUAUGGGGUAGUGGUCAACACACUCGGUCUCCUGUUUAUUGGGAAGCUGCUUGAACCAAUAUGGGGUUCCAGGGAGUUCUUUAAAUUCAUCUUUGUGGUUAAUCUUCUAACUUCAGUAUGUGUAUUCAUCACUGCUAUUGCCUUGUACUACAUUACGAGGCUGGAGACUUACCUUUACUUUCCAAUUUCCGGAUUUCAUGGAGUUAUAUCUGGUUUCUUGGUUGGCAUCAAGCAAAUUAUACCAGAUCAAGAGCUCCCUUUUAUCAAGAUAAAAACAAAG